CCUGCUGCAAUCUACUCUGGAGUGAGAAGAGAAGACGCCUGUAACGGACAAAUAGUGAUCAAAGACAAGAAAUCAAACAGGAAGAAAGAGAGUGAUCCUGCUGCAAUCUACUCCAGAGUGAGAACAACAGAUGUCAGUUACGGAUAAAUAGCGAUCAAAGAGAAGAAGACAAAAGGAAGAGAGAGUCUCCAGCAGAUCCAGAGGAACC